rnacentral:rRNA from 1 species
UACGUAGGGGGCAAGCGUUGUCCGGAAUCAUUGGGCGUAAAGAGCUCGUAGGCGGUUCAGUAAGUCGGGUGUGAAAGCUCCGAGCUCAACUCGGAGAGGGCACUCGAUACUGCUGUGACUAGAAUCCAGUAGGGGAGCGUGGAACUCCUGGUGUAGCGGUGAAAUGCGCAGAUAUCAGGAAGAACACCAGCGGCGAAGGCGGCGCUCUGGGCUGGAAUUGACGCUGAGGAGCGAAAGUGUGGGUAGCAAACAGG